rnacentral:rRNA from 1 species
UAUCUGCCUUCAGAUUCGGGAUAGCUGCGGGAAACUGCAGGUAAUACCGGAUAAUGUCUCCGGACCAAAGGUGUGAUUCCGUCUGAAGAUGAGCCCGCGUCCUAUCAGCUAGUUGGUGAGGUAACGGCUCACCAAGGCAGCGACGGGUACUGGGUAUGAGAGCACGACCCAGCUCACUGGGACUGAGGCACUGCCCAGACACCUACGGGUGGCUGCAGUCGAGGAUCUUCGGCAAUGGGCGCAAGCCUGACCGAGCGACGCCGCGUGUGGGAUGAAGGCCUUCGGGUUGUAAACCGCUGUCAGGGGGGAGGAAAUGGCUAGGGGCACUCCCCUAGUUUUGACCUAUCUCCAGAGGAAGUACGGGCUAAGUUCGUGCCAGCAGCCGCGGUAAGACGAACCGUACGAACGUUAUUCGGAAUCAUUGGGCUUAAAGGGUGCGUAGGCUGUGCAGAAAGUUGGGUGUGAAAUCCCCUGGCUUAACCAGGGAAUUGCGCCCAAAAACUACUGCGCUGGAGGAAGACAGAGGUAAGCGGAACUUCGGGUGGAGCGGUGAAAUGCGUUGAUAUCCGAAGGAACACCGGUGGCGAAAGCGGCUUACUGGGUCUUUUCUGACGCUGAGGCACGAAAGCUAGGGUAGCGAACGGGAUUAGAUACCCCGGUAGUCCUAGCCGUAAACGAUGAGCACUGGGUUGAAGGGUCCUCCAUAGCCUUUCAGCCGAAGCGAAAGUGUUAAGUGCUCCGCCUGGGGAGUAUGGUUGCAAGGCUGAAACUCAAAGAAAUUGACGGGGGCUCACACAAGCGGUGGA